CAAACACAAAAGUCUCAUAUAGCAUUAUGUAUAAAAUGUAUUUUAUAAUCUAUUAAAUUUUGUAAAGAUUUUCAAUGAAACUUUAAGAAACUUAGUUUCAAUCGUGUUAGUACAUGUGUGUUUUGUGUAGAGGUGUGUGCGCAUGAACAGAAGUUCUCAUGGAGGCAGACAACGGUGCAGGACCCUCUGAGCUGGAGUUAAAAGCAGUGGUGAGCUGACCGACGCAGGUGCUGGACUCCAGAUUGAGUCCUCUGGGAGAAAGGAGUACAGUGUUUUGGGGCCCAACACAAGAUGUUUACUAAUUUGUCUUCACAGUUCUAAUCCUGAAUUAUAUAUGGAUGCGUAUCUGUGUGGAUAUAAGCAUACGAGGCUAGGUGUUCUCAAGAGGCACCAGAUCCCCUGGCACUGGAUUUCUGUGUGGCUGUAAGCAGGCACCACAGCCACGCCGGGAACCAAAUGCAGCUCCCGUGGGAGGGACGCACGAUCCUUCAGUCGCUGAGACAUUCCUCCAUCCUCGGUGUCUUCCGCUGCAAUCAUUUUUGUGCUGUGUGGAGGAGAGGCACGCGCACCAGCUACUGCCGAUGCUGACAUCGGUACUGGCCUCUUCCAUUUCUCAAUGUGGACUGAAGACGGGCGGCUCUCCAGGAAUCCUUCAGGAUUUAGCACAAGAUCGGAACUCCUUGGGCAUUCAGCUCUGUUGCCUGGGCCGUUAAUGGGCUUUCUGCCUUUCUAGUGUGUGGGCAGUGUUGUUGGACUAUUCAGUUUAUACCCUGAAAGCCAAUCCAGGAAGUCUCCCGACCGUGCUGGAUAAGUAUUCUACUGGUUCCGUUCUUUUGGAGAACCCCUGACUAAUACAGAAUUCGAUGCAAUGAAUGUUUAACGAUUGAGAUGAUAGUGUUCUGAUACCAAGCAGAGGAAUGCGUAGUGCAGGGAGACCCUGGCUUGCACGGUGUUUUCACACGGCCCAUUUAAGCUGCAAACUUUCAGAGGUGUUAUCUCAGUAUGUCCAGAUCUGAAGAACAGAACAAUGGUGCAAACUACAUGCCAUCACCGCAAUGGUACACAGAGCAGCUCUGAUAUUAAAUUUAGGUUUUCUAUCUUUUCAUUUGGGAGAGGUAAACCAUCGUGGUCAUAGUCAACUAUAGGAAUAGGUCUUUGUUCCAACCUGGUGUAGUUUUCUCUCCCCUUUUCAUGUUUUCCUUUCUUAGAUGAUGAUACUCCUGCCCAUUGUUCUUGCUCACGCCGGGGCAUUCUGGAUGCUGCUGCCCUUCAUACAGAAGAGGUUUUUUUUUUUUUUUAACAUUUGUAAGUCAUCAGUUUUAAGAACUAAAACUUCAUCAAGCAUGUUCUCAGAAAUAAGUGUUCUUUGUCCUUCACAGGACGGAUGCCGCUUAACAGCCUGGGGUGCCACUCACCACCCUGGUGUAGCUUAUCUCUGUGCCCAGCGUGAUGUCUUUGUUGCCCAGCUGGCACUGUCUUCCAUCUCCGGGAGCAGCAUCUUCUUGUCCUGAGGAAUGUGGUAAUUGGAGGUUUUUUUGGUUGGAAGUGUAAUUUUUAAAAUUAAAGCGACAUGUUCACAUCUUUCCUCAUGAGAUUGAAAAUAACAAUUACUUUGAAAGAUGUCUUGAUUUUAUUUUGGAGACUUUUUCUAAACAGGCUUUUCAUGUUUUUAAGGGAAUAAGAGAUUUUUUUUUUACAUAUUUGAGUGGUUUUGACCCAGGGACACAGAGACAAUUUUACAAAGAUUUGCAAAUUUAGGAAUCAAAGAAUGUCAUAAAACUAUGCAAGUUUAAAAUACAUUAUUGAGUGCAUCAGAGAGGGGGUUAAAACAAAAUGGAGGGAGCUUUUCUAUAGGUCUCUGAUGCUAUUUCUCUGAUGGUAUUUUUAGCUUGUGAGCAGGGGGCAGCCGGCUGGUUGCUAACUUAAUAGACUCCAAAGGUUUUCAAUCUCCUAGUGAAAGCGUGUUAGUUCCAACGCAAAGGUGAACGAGGCAUGGCCGUUCAUGUUGACAAAGCCAGCCUGAGAUAGCAUAAUUAGCAUCCGGACAGGCAAUAUCCCCUCUCCCCCACAUCACUAUAGUUCUCCUUAGUCAGCUGAGUUUUAAUCCUGGAUAAUUGUACUGUAGCAGUCUCUGAAGACGGCUUCUUCAAGCUGGGAGUUCUUGUUCACAGUGCCCCCUGUUGACCAAGCAUCACAAUUUGUGCAUGUGAUGGGGGCACAUGUUAUUUAUUAAAUAUAAGAUUCCUCUAGCUAGGAAGCUCGUUCCUAUGUUAUGGAGUAGAGGAGGCUGAGUGGAUGGCAGGGGAGCAGUCUUCAGGAGAGAGGAAUAGCUGACAAAGACAUUAAGAAAAAACAAACAAAACAAAACAAAACAAAACAAAAACCAAAACUCCUCCCGGAUUAUAACGAAACCACCAGUAUCAUGAUCCCUAGCUGACUUUUUUCUUAUUCCUCUGUGUCUGGCAUAGCAUUUACAUCACGUCCAGUAUAUAAUAGGAUUACUAGACCUGAAAUUAAAAUAAUCAGGAACAUUGUUUGGCCUGAUGGAGUGAAGGUAACAGAUGAAGGAAACAUGUACUUUAAACAACCACAGUUUACCUAUUUCUUUUUAUGACCCUAGAUUGUAUGUUUCUGCUAUAUUUACAGCUUACUCUAGGAGCUGUUUGUACGUUUAAAUGUUAGAAACAUGAAUGGGACCCUGGAAGGAGUCACUGUGUGAUUGAAUUGUUUUAUUAGUAAAAUACAAAUACAGCUCAAUUAAUAUUUUAAUCCUUGAUUAUUGUACUAUAUGACGUUUUAGACACUAACUAAAUAAGAAAAAAUCAGUACUCAAGGUACAAAACAUAAUGAAUGCUGUUGCUGCAGAGUGAUGUCCUUGGCGUAAAUUGUAUAAGAAGAGUUAGGCCAAAUCUUAGGGUGUCUUAGCUAGAGCAAAGGGAGCUAAAGUUGAGUUUAAAUACUAAAUGUUUUGUUUUUUAUACACAUUAGAAUAAUGAGAAAAAGUGUGUAUACACAUACAUUUGUAUAAAGACAGUGACAGCACUUGAGAGUUUCAGGCAUGAGAACUGGUAUUGAAUAAGGUACAGGUUUAGAGUAACAAAAAAUGACUAAAUGAAAGAAUAUUUAAUAUUUUCCUUUGUAACUUCACUACAACCAAAAUUUGUAUCAUUUAUCACUGAGAAACAUACCAGGUGAGAUAUUGUAUUUCAUAAACAAUUAAAAAACUUUUUUAUUAUGAAAGUAUUUAGGUCAUAAGAGUGAGAGGAAUGUUUACUUCAUCGGGGCACUCAAUUAUGAAGGGAGUUGAAACGACUUUUAAGGCAACACAACCGCACCCAUCCAUUUGAGUCUGCUAAUGACUGCUUUCAUUUAAGAGACAGAGGAGAGUAAUGGGUAAUUAUGAAAGAGACUGUGGGAACUAGAAAGCCAAAAAUUUCAGAAAAAUAAAUGUUUGUGUUGAGGUUUAUAAGAAAGACAAUGAUUUUAACAUCAGCCUAUUUCUGGCUGGUAAAAACUUUGCGUCAUUUGCAAACUUAAGUAUCACCCGUAAUCUUCUUAUCCAUUGCUAAUGUAAAUGGAACACUUUAUUGUACACUAUACUUGCAUAUAAGUCACAAACAAUCGUUAAUAAUAUCACUGGCAUUAUUAAUUAUGAAGGCAGGCAUUCUUUUGAAAUAUUUACAUGUAUUCAGGAGCUGAAUUUCACAGUCUUACCAUAUGAUAUAAACUUUAGUUGCCUUUGUUCCCCACAAGGGUACUGAGUCAGACAGAAAGUCACAUAGGCAGUAGGUGAAGGAAUUAGUACUGGAACCAGGCCUACUAGAGAGAUAUAUUGUGAGCUUUGUUUAUUUUUUCCCUAUUUUCUAGAUUUCAUGGCUGUGCAAACACACUGUCAGCUGCAGUAAAUCAGAGGACUUGCUAGGGAAGACCUUGAGACAGCACGCAUUUCAUGCAUCCUGCAUCAGUCAGAGUGCUGUCCACGGCCUCCUGGAGUAUUUUCUCUUAGUGUCAUGGGGCUUUAGAGCGCUUAGAGAACUUGCUUCAGUAACUCUUAACUUCACUGGGGGAAGUGAGGUUUCUUCCGGUAUUGACGGCUGAGAUGUUAGAGCACAUGAUAAAGACAGGACGAAAGCUUCGCAACUGGAUUGAGAACGAUAGCAUCUCCCCUCCUUUUUUCCAUUCUUUAUCCACCAGACAGCAGCCUACGUGUCUUUUGGAUGUGUACUGACAAAUACUACAGGGUGUAGGGAGAGAUCUCAUGUAACCACCCGAAGCACUAGUUACUAAUGUCUUUGGAUGCUGGAAACUAAACACGAGGCCUCGUGUACUCUGCUGCAGGCUACAGCUGCAGACAGGGUUUAUUAUUUAAAUCAGUGUGUUGAUUAUUUUUCUUUACAUUUCUGACGGCAAAAGAAUAGUCUGGAGUGGUUGGUAGAAUCAAUGCUUUCUUGAAGAACUACUUGGGAAAAAUCAAGACAUGUCUAUCUUUAGAGAAUUGUAAUACAAUUUUCAUUUGCACCCUAACCCUAUGUUCUUAGAAGUGGUUUUCUUUUAUCAUGGUUACAAGUAAUAAAAAAAGUGCUAAAAAUGUUGUUCAAUGAAAACAGAGGCCAAAGGAAAACAGGGACACCUACCCUAUUAUCAGACAAACUAUACUUUAAAUACAAGACUUUCAAAAAUGCAAAAGGGAUAUCUACAUGCUGAUAAAAGGUUAAAUCUUCAAGAAAAUUUAACAAUAGUAAACAUUUAUACAAAUAGCAAUCCAUGCAAACACAUAAACAAAACUGAGAGCAUUAGAAAAAACUUCAGUUGUAGAGUUUAACACACAACCAUCAACAACAGAUAAAAUUUCAGAUAGAGGAUAAAUAAGGAAACAUGGCAUAGAAUUCCAUGGCAGAUAAACAAAACACUCAACUCAAUAAAAAUACCAUAUACCUCUUCUCAAGGGCACAAGGUACAUUCUUCAGGAUAGAUGAUGUGUUCAGAUGAAGUUUGAGCAGACCAACAUUACCCUGAGGGCAAAGGUAUCAAAGAGGGAAAAGAAACUACAGAACAGUAUCUCAUAUAAACAUUGAUUUUAAAAAAGAAAAAGGAAAAUACUAGCAAAGUAAGUUAAUCAGCAUAAUAAGAGUGUCACAGUACAUGCACGAGUAAAAUUUGUUCCUGGGAUAUGAAAGCAAUUCACUCUUUGAAAACCAUCCAAUAUAAUACAACACAUUGAAAGAAUAAAGGGGAGAAAUACCUAUUUAUUACAGUUUAUCCAAAAAAUUACUUGGCAAAUUCAGUACCCUUUUAUCUUAAAAAAUACUAUAAAUACAGUGAACCUGGGGCUCUCUGUCUGCCUCAGUGUGUGUUAGUACUGCAGGCGGACACCACAAGCGCCCACACACAUAAGAGGUGUGAUGGCUGUUAUUGGUUGUCAACUUGACUACAUAUGAUGGUUAAUUUUGAGGGUCAAGUUGAUUAUAUUAACAAAUAUGUAGGCCUUAGUGAAGCAUGAUUUUGGGCACGUCUGUGAGGGCAGUUCUACAGGAGUUCAGCUAAGAAUGUAAGAUUCAUCCUCAGUGUGGGUGGCACCAUCCCAUGGGCUGGAGUCCAUGAGUUAAAAAGAGAACGAGGAGAAAGCCACUGACCUGCCUGUUAUUCCAAGGUAGUUUUUAAGGCACUUAAGUGAGGUUAUUUCCCUGAUUUCUUUCCCAGUGUGUUUUUUUUUACUAAUAUGUAAUACUACCAGCCUUUCUUUGGCCAUUUCUCUGAAAGCGUUUAAGAGUUUUCUGGCAGAGUCUUUAGGGUCCCUUACAUAGAAUGAUAUCUGUAAAUAAGGGCACAUUUUCCUACUUUUAUCUGUUUUAUUUCUUGUCUUAUCCCUUCAAGAUUUCAUAGCUUAUAAUGGAAGAAUGGUAAAAGUAGAUAAUCUUGUUCUUAAUUAUAUUGGAAACACUUUGAGUUUUCCUUAUUUCAAAUGAUGUUGACUUGUAAGACCGUUAUCAUAUACAGCCUUUAUUGUAUUUAGAUACGCUCAUUCUAUUCCCAGUUUCUUUAGGAAUUUUAUUGUAAAGGGGUUUUAUCAUGAAUUGUGUCCCAAAGCUUUAUCUGCAUCUAUUGUAACAAUCAUGCUAGUUCUGUCUUUGAGUCAAUUUAUAUGAGUUGGUUGUUGGUUGGGUGAGAUAUUCUGUAGAUAUCUGUUAGGUCCAUUUGGUUUAUAAUGUCUGUUAGCACCAGUAUUUCCCUGUUUAGUUUUUGUCUAGAUGACCUGUCCACUGGACAAAGUUGGGUCUCCCACUAUCGGUGUUUAAGGGUCAAUGUAUGAGGGUCAAUAUGUGAUUUAGGCUGUAGUAGUGUAUCUUUUACAAACUUGGCUUCCCUUGUGUUGGGGCACAGAUGUUAAAAAUUGAAAUGUCAUCUUGGUGGAUUUUCCUUUGAUGGGUGUCCAGUUCCCUUCUACAUUCAUUUUGAUGAGUUUUGGUUUGAAGUCUGUUUUGCUGGGUAUUAAAAUGGCUACACCAGCUUCCUUCUUAGCUCCAUGUGCUUGGAGUAUCUUUUCCCAACCCUUUACCCUGAAGUAAUAUCUAUAUUGAUGUCGAGGGUUUUCUUUCACUGUCCCUUUUUAGCCUUUUGGCUCUAUUUUCAAGGCUAACACAUACUUUCACUGCCUCUGGUUCUAGGGCUAAAGUGUGUUUCUUUGUCUCUGGUUUCAGAGUCAGGGUGCAUUACUUAGGUUCUGGGUUCAGGACUAAAGUGUUUCUUUCACUGACUUGGGUUUCAGAUCCAGGGUGUGUUUCUUUCCACUGGCUCUGGAUUUAGGGUCAGGGUGUUAGAUUUCCUGUUCAGAGAUUGGUUGGUUUCAUGUUCUGUCGGUCAGGGGCAGAGUUGUCUGUGGUUCCAUGGCCAAAGUGUUUCUUUGACUCUGGUUUCAGGGUCAGGGUGUAUUUCUUGGGUUUUGGGUUCAGGGCUAAAGUGUUUCUUUCACUAUCUCUGGUUUUAUGGACAGGAUGAUUUUCUUUCACUACGUCUGGUUUCAUGGCCAGAGUAGAUUCUUUUGGCUGGCCUAUUUACCCUACAAUCACAUCUAUUCUGCUAGGUUGUAUCUUUCCAUUUGGAAUUGAGACACUAAUAUUGAGAGAUGUGACCAGUGAUUGUUGAUGCCUAUUACUUGUUUUUGUUGG